rnacentral:rRNA from 1 species
CCUACGGGAGGCUGCAGUGGGGAAUAUUGGACAAUGGGGGCAACCCUGAUCCAGCAAUGCCGCGUGAGUGAUGAAGGCCUUCGGGUUGUAAAGCUCUUUUGUCAGGGACGAUAAUGACGGUACCUGACGAAUAAGCUCCGGCUAACUUCGUGCCAGCAGCCGCGGUAAUACGAAGGGAGCUAGCGUUGUUCGGAAUUACUGGGCGUAAAGGGCGCGUAGGCGGCUUUAUAAGUCAGAUGUGAAAUCCCUGGGCUUAACCUAGGAAUGGCAUUUGAUACUGUAAGGCUAGAGAUCGAGAGAGGAUAGUGGAAUUGCGAGUGUAGAGGUGAAAUUCGUAGAUAUUCGCAAGAACACCGGUGGCGAAGGCGGCUAUCUGGCUCGAUACUGACGCUAAGGCGCGAAAGCGUGGGGAGCAAACAGGAUUAGAUACCCUGGUAGUCCACGCUGUAAACGAUGAAUACUAGAUGUUGGGAGAGACAUACUCUCAGUGUCGCGAGCUACGACAUUAAGUAGUUACCGUCCGUCGGGUAGGUACGGUCGCGAAGUAAGUUAAACGUUAAAGUUAAAGUUAGUUAGGCGUGAGACGNGCGACGGACGACGACGAGGGAGGAGG